UUGCAUUAGAAUUAGAAUCUAAAUACACUAAAAUCACCCCCUCUAAUAUAAUUAUAACAAUU
rnacentral:tRNA from 1 species